UUUGUCGCGUUGUUCGUGAAACUCACGGCUUAACUGUGAGCGUGCGGGCGAUACGGGCAGACUUGAGUACUGCAGGGGAGACUGGAAUUCCUGGUGUAGCGGUGGAAUGCGCAGAUAUCAGGAGGAACACCGGUGGCGAAGGCGGGUCUCUGGGCAGUAACUGACGCUGAGGAGCGAAAGCGUGGGGAGCGAACAGGAUUAGAUACCCUGGUAGUCCACGCCGUAAACGGUGGGUACUAGGUGUGGGUUUCCUUCCUUGGGAUCCGUGCCGUAGCUAACGCAUUAAGUACCCCGCCUGGGGAGUACGGCCGCAAGGCUAAAACUCAAAGAAAUUGACGGGGGCCCGCACAAGCGGCGGAGCAUGUGGAUUAAUUCGAUGCAACGCGAAGAACCUUACCUGGGUUUGACAUGCACAGGACGCCGGCAGAGAUGUCGGUUCCCUUGUGGCCUGUGUGCAGGUGGUGCAUGGCUGUCGUCAGCUCGUGUCGUGAGAUGUUGGGUUAAGUCCCGCAACGAGCGCAACCCUUGUCUCAUGUUGCCAGCGGGUAAUGCCGGGGACUCGUGAGAGACUGCCGGGGUCAACUCGGAGGAAGGUGGGGAUGACGUCAAGUCAUCAUGCCCCUUAUGUCCAGGGCUUCACACAUGCUACAAUGGCCGGUACAAAGGGCUGCGAUGCCGCGAGGUUAAGCGAAUCCUUUUAAAGCCGGUCUCAGUUCGGAUCGGGGUCUGCAACUCGACCCCGUGAAGUCGGA
rnacentral:rRNA from 1 species